rnacentral:misc_RNA from 1 species
GAAAUGCGAUAAGUAAUGUGAAUUGCAGAAUUCAGUGAAUCAUCGAAUCUUUGAACGCAUCUUGCGCUCCUUGGUAUUCCGAGGAGCAUGCCUGUUUGAGUGUCAUUCAACUUCUCUCAACUACAUCAAUGAUGUGGCUUGGAUUUGGGGGGGAUUUUCUUUGCAGGCUUUAAAUGAAGUCUGCUCCCCUGAAAUACAUUAGUGGUGUCUGAGCUGCUGCUAUAGGUGUGAUAAUUAUCUACGCCUUAUGCUGGGCUGGUUGCACUGCUUCUAACAAAAAAAGACCUUACAAUUUUAUUAUUGUUUGACGAAUUUGACCUCAAAUCAGGUAGGACUACCCGCUGAACUUAA